rnacentral:lncRNA from 1 species
UUAAGUCACACUUUCUAUGUGGGACUUGAAGCAAAGCAUUAAAUGCUAUUUAACUCUUUUGUCAUUUUGGAACUAAUAUUGCAAAACAAUUUCUAACAUACCUUAUGCAACAACUAUCUAAUCAUAUUAUAUUAUUUACAUGAGAACUAUCUAAAAAAAUACAUAAAUGCAUAAACAUAAAGCUUUACAAAUAGAAUCAAUAAACAAUAUUAAAAUGAUAUUGUAAUUGAAACCAAAUUUAAAAAUAAAAUAAGAAUAAAAUA